GACCGAGGGUGCAAACGUUGUUCGGAAUUACUGGGCGUAAAGCGUGCGCAGGCGGUCUCUUAAGACAGGCGUGAAAUCCCCGGGCUUAACCUGGGAACUGCGCCUGUAACUGAGAGGCUUGAGUGUGCCAGAGGGAGGUGGAAUUCCACGUGUAGCAGUGAAAUGCGUAGAGAUGUGGAGGAACACCGAUGGCGAAGGCAGCCCCCUGGGGUAACACUGACGCUCAGGCACGAAAGCGUGGGGAGCAAACAGG
rnacentral:rRNA from 1 species